CACGUAGGCGGAUCGGAAAGUUGGGGGUGAAAUCCCGGGGCUCAACCCCGGAACUGCCUUCAAAACUAUCGGUCUGGAGCUCGAGAGAGGUGAGUGGAAUUCCGAGUGUAGAGGUGAAAUUCGUAGAUAUUCGGAGGAACACCAGUGGCGAAGGCGGCUCACUGGCUCGAUACUGACGCUGAGGUGCGAAAGCGUGGGGAGCAAACA
rnacentral:rRNA from 1 species